rnacentral:rRNA from 1 species
UACGUAGGGGGCAAGCGUUGUCCGGAAUCAUUGGGCGUAAAGAGCGUGUAGGCGGCUUCACAGGUCCGCUGUGAAAACUCGAGGCUCAACCUCGAGCUGUCGGUGGAAACCGUGUGGCUAGAGUCCGGAAGAGGAGAGUGGAAUUCCCGGUGUAGCGGUGAAAUGCGCAGAUAUCGGGAAGAACACCGGUGGCGAAGGCGGGUCUCUGGCCGGAUACGUGACGCUGAGGAGCGAA